UAUCAUCAUAGUAUUUCAGAAAAAUUGGGUAUUUCAAUGGUUGUAUGUUUCAAGAAUAUACUUAAGAGUCACAAAGAAGCUAAAUCAACUGACUAUCAAGAUAAAUCAUUUUGUUCCUGAAAACGUAAGCACUAAUAGUUAUAUGGUACAAUUGACAAUGGUGGAACAUCGGGCAGCAAGUAUCAAACAUAGAAAUAUAUUUAGCAAUGUUAAUUUAAUGAGAUAUCCACUCCAACCAAGCGACAUUUUGCUAAUCGCAUACUUGUCAUAGAUAUAGACCUGACAAACGAACGAGAAGUUUUACUUACUUCGGGAAGUGAUAAUACUUACGUUAUAAACGAUUUUCUUUUCUUGUUCAAUAUACGUAUCGACUUUAAUUGUUUACACAUCUGAUGUUAUGUGAUUCGAAAUAAUGAACCUUUAUAAUUUGACAACAUGAAAAAUAACAUAGAAUGUUCAUAAACGGCUCGCCUCUUUGUUCUUUCACAUUUAGUAAAAAUAUCAGUGUCCAGAAUCUCAGAAAUGAAAUCUGUAACUGGACUGGGUACGUGUAUGUAAAUUUAUAUUUUCAUGAAUACAGCUACAGAAAUAGAAUUUCUGUACAAAUAGGGAUUUGUGUUUCACUUUUUAAAUAUUAUGAUGAGUACCUUACUUUAUAUAUUUUAUAAAUUUGUAUGUAUUCUAUAUAUUUCUGCACAUUUAAAUUCUCCAUAAAUAUAUGAAGAUUUGCAGUUUAAUCAUAGCUAAUAUACUCGUAUUACGUAAGUAAGAAAUAUAUUAAUAAAUUUUCAUGUUUUAACGAAUAAAGAUACAUUAUUUAUGUCUUUUUUGUGCAAUUAUUGAUCUUGACCGUAUAUUUAUUUACAUUCAAUCUGUUUUAUCGUUCUAAGGACGCUUCCGAAAUAAAUUCUUCUUUAUCAUUCGACUUAACGUUAAUUAAAUUUACAUACACGAUUAAGACAAUUUUCUCAAUUAAAAAUGAACAUGAGGAACAAAACGAGAUAAUCGCGAUCGGAAUAAAGAUAACAUUAUACUGUGAGUCAUCACUAGUUGCGCGUAAUUGAUGAUUUAUGGAAAUUAAAAAUAUUUUAAUAUUGUUGAUGCCCAACUUUCCGAUAAUUUACACUACGAUUUUACUUAUUAUAUGUUUUAACACGUAACAAUGUAAUAUGAUGUGUUUUUCGAUGCAUUACUAUAGCCUAUAUGUGAACCGUUCAGAACUCGUAUACUAAUCACUUCCAUAAAUUAAAAAAUAGAACAAUGUAAUGAUACUAUAAACAUUAUUUCUUAGAGUAGAGAUAUAAAUAUAUAUUAUUGAAAUUAUACUUUAUGAAAUUGAACACCAAUAAAAUUUAAAAAUGUAUAAAAAGUGGAGGUGAAGUUUGGCUUUUGAGAAGCUUAUAUGAGAGAGUGCAUGAAAUACAAUGGCAUGCACAUACAUAUCACAAUUCAAGAAGGAAAUAUGGAAUAACAUACGUGACUAGCGCAACUAUAAAUACGUCCUCUAUGCAGGAGACUCCUGUGCCACCUUGUUCAGAAUUUUCUUCUUCAGAUACUCUUUAUGCUCAAAUUACUAUUUGUAAAUAUUGUGCGCUUGAAUUGGUCAUGUAAUGGAUAAAAACACCAAAUAUCCAUAUAUGUCCAUUAUAAUAUAGGUAUUAUGUUACAUCAUCGACAGACUGUCGUAUAGGUACAUAUAGAUUGAGUAACUGUUAAGAUUUAGUUUAGGUUUAUUAGUAAAUAAAAGAAAGAAACUAUAAAUUAA